rnacentral:rRNA from 1 species
UCGAGUGCCAGGUUACAAAUCUGGCUGUCGUGAUGCCUAAAAAGCAUUGCAUAGCAAGGGCCGGGCAAGACCGGUGCCAGCCGCCGCGGUAACACCGGCGGCUCGAGUGGUAACCGUUAUUAUUGGGUCUAAAGGGUCUGUAGCCGGCCGGAUAAGUCUCUUGGGAAAUCCAGCAGCUCAACUGUUGGGCUUUCAGGAGAUACUGUCUGGCUCGAGGCCGGGAGAGGUGAGAGGUACUUCAGGGGUAGGGGUGAAAUCUUGUAAUCCUUGAAGGACCACCAGUGGCGAAGGCGUCUCACCAGAACGGACCUGACGGCAAGGGACGAAAGCUAGGGGCACGAACCGGAUUAGAUACCCGGGUAGUCCUAGCCGUAAACGAUACUCGCUAGGUGUCGGCCACGGUGCGACCGUUGUCGGUGCCGUAGGGAAGCCGUGAAGCGAGC